GCCAAACCAGUGGAGAAGAUUCCCUGCAAACAUGCGAUGUUUCGCUCGACCGUACAGCGGAUCAGCUUUCCUCCUAGGGAAGGACCUGCGCCGGGGGAGUACAGUCCCGAGUCAAGCCCGGGGAGGAGCAUCACGUCCAGCUUCAAAUCCACGCUGCCUCGCCUUCACUACGUCCACCCCAAAACCCCGGGACCGGGAGCCUACGAGCCAUUUUGGAAGCUGGGCGACCGCGUGACCACCGUCAUGGACCCCUCCUUCAGCUUCUUCUUCCGUAACCUGCCUUAGCCCCGUCCCAAAAGCGUUUUAACACCAAGCAUUUAUUUUUUUUUUACUUACCCCCUUGUUAUUUUAGGACUCGCU
rnacentral:lncRNA from 1 species